GACGAACGCUGGCGGCGUGCUUAACACAUGCAAGUCGAACGGAAAGGCCCUGCUUGCAGGGUGCUCGAGUGGCGAACGGGUGAGUAACACGUGGGUGAUCUGCCCUGCACUUCGGGAUAAGCUUGGGAAACUGGGUCUAAUACCGGAUAGGACCAUGGGAUGCAUGUCUUGUGGUGGAAAGUUUUUUUGCGGUGUGGGAUGGGCCCGCGGCCUAUCAGCUUGUUGGUGGGGUGAUGGCCUACCAAGGCGACGACGGGUAGCCGGCCUGAGAGGGUGUCCGGCCACACUGGGACUGAGAUACGGCCCAGACUCCUACGGGAGGCAGCAGUGGGGAAUAUUGCACAAUGGGCGCAAGCCUGAUGCAGCGACGCCGCGUGGGGAAUGACGGCCUUCGGGUUGUAAACCUCUUUCACCAUCGACGAAGGCCUGUCUUUUUGGGUGGGUUGACGGUAGGUGGAGAAGAAGCACCGGCCAACUACGUGCCAGCAGCCGCCGUAAAAC
rnacentral:rRNA from 1 species